rnacentral:rRNA from 1 species
UACGAAGGUGGCAAGCGUUGUUCGGAUUUACUGGGCGUACAGGGAGCGUAGGCGGUUGGGUAAGCCCUCCGUGAAAUCUCCGGGCCUAACCCGGAAAGUGCGGAGGGGACUGCUCGGCUAGAGGAUGGGAGAGGAGCGCGGAAUUCCCGGUGUAGCGGUGAAAGGCGUAGAGAUCGGGAGGAAGGCCGGUGGCGAAGGCGGCGCUCUGGAACAUUACUGACGCUGAGGCUCGAAAGCGUGGGGAGCAAACAGG